rnacentral:rRNA from 1 species
GGGAAUUUUGCGCAAUGGGGGAAACCCUGACGCAGCAACGCCGCGUGGAGGAUGAAGUCUCUUGGGACGUAAACUCCUUUCGAUCGGGACGAUAAUGACGGUACCGAUAGAAGAAGCCCCGGCUAACUUCGUGCCAGCAGCCGCGGUAAUACGAGGGGGGCAAGCGUUGUUCGGAAUUAUUGGGCGUAAAGGGUGCGUAGGCGGUUUGACAAGUCUUAUGUGAAAUCUCUGGGCUCAACCCAGAGUCUGCAUGGGAAACUGUCGGGCUUGAGGAUGGGAGAGGUGAGUGGAAUUUCCGGUGUAGCGGUGAAAUGCGUAGAUAUCGGAAGGAACACCUGUGGCGAAAGCGGCUCACUGGACCAUUUCUGACGCUGAUGCACGAAAGCUAGGGGAGCAAAC